AUGGGGUUGCCAAGGAGGAUGGAUGCACGAAGUUAUGCAGGAAUUGGCUAAAAAAAAGGAAAAGUUGGAAAAGGAGCCAGACUAUCCCUAUCAUGAUGCAAAA